rnacentral:tRNA from 1 species
GGGCAUGGUAUAAUGGUAGAACGAAAGCUUCCCAAGCUUUAGACGAGGGUUCGAUUCCCUUUGCCCGC